GGGGGGGGGUAACUUCCUAUUAUUGGGUAUACGGGGAUGUGCCAAAAAUAUGGGUCAUAAUUUUGCGAGAUUUUAUAUAAAAAUGACCCUCCUUUUUAAUGACAUCCUAUAUUAAAAUGCAUUUACGUUUGAUAACUGUAUAUUGAUUUGGGGUAUGAUCUACAUAUCAUAUAUAAAUAUGCUAUUGCGAAUCUUACAUUAUUAAUGGUCAAUUAUUAUAUUAAAUUAAAUCAAUUCAUUUGAAAGUUCACCUUUCAAAUAAGUUCCCAAA
rnacentral:lncRNA from 1 species